rnacentral:rRNA from 1 species
CAGCAGCCGCGGGAAUACGGAGGGUGCGAGCGUUAAUCGGAGUAACUGGGCGUAAAGGGCACGCAGGCGGUUAUUUAAGUGAGGUGUGAAAGCCCCGGGCUUAACCUGGGUAUUGCAUUUCAGACUGGGUAACUAGAGUACUUUAGGGAGGGGUAGAAUUCCACGUGUAGCGGUGAAAUGCGUAGAGAUGUGGAGGAAUACCGAAGGCGAAGGCAGCCCCUUGGGAAUGUACUGACGCUCAUGUGCGAAAGCGUGGGGAGCAAACAGGAUUAGAUACCCCAGUAGUCCCUGUCUCUUAUAC